GUGGAUUGGAACUCUAUGGAGAGGAGUGGAGUGAAGUGGAUUGGAGUGGAAUGGAGUGCAAUGGACUGGAGUGGAUUGGAAUGGAUUGGAGUGGAGUGGAGUGGAUCGGAGUGGAGUGCCGUGGAGGGGACUAGAGUGGGGUGGAGUGGAGUGCAUUGGAGUGGAAUGGAGUGGCGUGGGGUGGAAUGGAAUGGAAUGGGAUCAAAUCGCAUGGUAAUGAAUGAAAUGGAAUCAAAUGGAAUGGAAAUAAUGGAAUCGAAGGCAAACGAAUGGAAUCGAAUUGCACAGAUUCUACUGACUUCGAACAAAAUGAAAUGAAAUGCGGUGAAGUGGAGUGGAGUGGAAUGUAUUGGUUGGAAUGGAAUUGAAUGGUGUGGAGUGGAGUGGAGUUCCCAGGAGUGGAAUGGGAAGAAAUGGAAUUGAACGGAGUGGAGUGGAGUGGAAUGGGGCAUAAUGGAGUGGAAUAGUGUGGAGUGGAGUAGAGUGGAAUGGGUUGGAGUGGAAUGCAGAGGACAGGAGUGGAGUGCGGUGGACUGGAGUGGAGUGAAGUUGAGUGGAGUGGAUUGGAUUGAAAUAGAGCGGAGCAGAGUGGAAUGGAAUUGAAUCACAUGGUAUUGAAUCAAAUCGAAUGGAAUUAAAUCGAAUGAAAAAAAUGGAAUCAAAUGUAAACGAAUGGAGUCAAACCACAUUGGUUAAACUGACAUCGAAUAAUAUCAAAAGAAAUGUGGUGAAGUGGAGUGGAGUGUAACGAAAUGGAGUGGAAUGAAAUUGAAUGGAGUGGGGUCGAUUGGAGUCUACUGGAGUGGAAUGCAAUGGAAUGGAAAGGAAUGGAAUAGAAUGGAGUGAAGUGCAGUGCAGUGAAAUGGAGUGGAAAGGAAUGGAAUGGAAUGGAAUGGAAU
rnacentral:lncRNA from 10 species